CUCACCUGCGGCGGAGUGCCGCUUUGCGUUGCAAUGAUCCGGCACCCUUUCGCUGCGCGCAGCCCCGGUGGAGUCAAGAAGGCCCGUUUCAUUGGAUUGAGUGCUGAUGUCAAUGAAGGUGAUGCCAAAGUUUGGAGUUGAACUUUGGAGUGGAUCUGGGGCGCAAAUGAAGGAAACUGAUGCUCUUUUGUAUGAAGAAGCGCAUGUUCCUGUCUAACAGCGAGAGAGAGAGAUGGAGAGGCCCUGUCACAAGCAGAUGAGUGUUCAUUACUUUUUCCUUGAGGGGGGGAUUUGGGCAGCGGGAAAGAGAUUUCACACUAAUUUGUGGGAUGACACCUUAACCAUUUACAAUAUAUAUUAAACAAACUGACCAUAAAACCCUUAAUAACCCUUUGGUCUAUUUUAAUCACACCUACAAACACAAUUUUUAGCAUAACCGGUAACUUGUGAUUUAAUAUCUCCCCAUAUACCAUGAAACAGAUCAAAAUUGGUAGAUGUUAAAACAAACUUAAAAAGGAUGAAUAGCAUGUCUGUCAUAAAUAUAAAGGACAUUUCUUCAAUGCGUCAUUCAAUACAUUACAGAUGUCUAAAGAUACAGCCUGAUGAUCUGAUUUGAGCAAACGGGUUGUUUAAACA